UUUUUUAACUGCUUAAGUUCCUGCAAAACGUUUAAUCAAAAUACAUCUAUUAUUGACCCGAGGCUGUGGCAUAUGUUACUGGUACUACUGCCCUUGUUUGGGUUAAUAAUGAAACAGCUAAUCUAGUCCCCUUUGUUAAACUGUGCAAAUCCGCAAACAUCCCUACGCAUCUCUGACUGUCAGACUGUCAAAUACCUGUGUCUGUUUGUCUGUGUAACAUAGGCACUAUCAGAAUAAAUAUGAUUCUUUCUAAGGGCCAGCCAAGAACCCCACCGCACUAGGUGUGGUACAGACAGAGUAGCAGAUGGUCCCUGCUCCAAAGCCAAUGAUGUGAGCUCUGUCUUUGCCUUGCACAGCACCAAAUGUUCUCUCAGCAUUUAUUGUAAGGGUUAGUAGUGGCUGCGUGAACAGCUGGUGAUGUGCAUUCCUGACGUGGAAAACUUUAGGGAGAACAAGGCCAAAUUUUCACAUUUGAUGCCUGACUUUAGGCAGGUUAAGUUUUAAAACUUGCCCCAGUUUGCUCCCAGCUGAUGUGUGUGGAGUAAACUCCAUCGAACAGAUGGUUCAAACUGUGCAUCUGAAGGUUGAUCCCAGAACAGCUACAGCACUUCCCACAACAGCGUUUGCUCCCGGUUCCCCUGAACUUUCUAGUGAGAUCCCCAAACAGACAGAGGAAGCUAAAGUCGCUUCCCCGUGACUGAGAGCGCACGUUUCAAUCAUCUGCCUAGGCCACAAAGCCGGUGCCNAAGAGACGUUCGAAGGGUAGCAGCGGCCAAGAGAAGGUAGCAAAGCGAUCUGGCAGGAAGAAGGGGAAAGAGCUUGUCCAAGGAGCCGAGAACGCCAAGGCAAAUGAAGCAAGAAAGCCAAACGCCAGGUCCAGAAGGAAAGCAUCCGCAAGUCAAGGGUCUCCCAUGAGCGAAGCUCCUGCUGCAGAUAGGAAGAGGCAGGCAUCUGCUCGGAGAAGCACAGGAGCAGCUACUGCUGCCCCAAGAUCCAGGCGGGUGAAGGCUGAAUGACUGGUCUGGCACAGCAUCUGUCCUCGCUCCAGCCUGGGGUAACUCAAAUGGGAACUCGCUUGCUACUGCUGCAUGUGCUGAGGGAGAUGCACUGGGAGCAGCUGCUGGGGUGACUUCUCUCAAGCGGGCGUGCCCACUGCAUUGUUUCUUAGAUCCUUCCUCAGAGGGGCUUGCUGCAGGGGCUCU
rnacentral:lncRNA from 1 species